rnacentral:rRNA from 1 species
GACGAACGCUGGCGGCGUGCUUAACACAUGCAAGUCGAGCGGAAAGGCCACUUCGGUGGUACUCGAGCGGCGAACGGGUGAGUAACACGUGAGUAAUCUGCCCCUGGCUUUGGGAUAGCCACCGGAAACGGUGAUUAAUACCGGGUAUGACCACUUCACGCAUGUGUUGUGGUGGAAAGUUUUUCGGCCAGGGAUGUGCUCGCGGCCUAUCAGCUUGAUGGUGAGGUAAUGGCUCACCAUGGCUUCGACGGGUAGCCGGCCUGAGAGGGUGACCGGUCACACUGGGACUGAGACACUGCCCAGACUCCUACGGGAGGCAGCAGUGGGGAAUAUUGGACAAUGGGCGGAAGCCUGAUCCAGCAACGCCGCGUGAGGGAUGACGGCCUUCGGGUUGUAAACCUCUUUCAGUACCGACGAAGCGCAAGUGACGGUAGGUACAGAAGAAGCACCGGCCAACUACGUGCCAGCCGCCGCCGUAAUAC